rnacentral:tRNA from 1 species
GCGGGUAUGGCGGAAUUGGUAGACGCGCUAGACUUAGGAUCUAGUGCCGCAAGGCGUGGGGGUUCGACUCCCUUUACCCGCA